CCUACGGGAGGCAGCAGUGAGGAAUAUUGGUCAAUGGUCGGGAGACUGAACCAGCCAAGCCGCGUGAGGGAGGAAGGUACAGAGUAUCGUAAACCUCUUUUGUCAGGGAACAAAGACUGGGACGCGUCCCCGGAUGAGUGUACCUGAAGAAAAAGCAUCGGCUAACUCCGUUCCAGCAGCCGCGGUAAUACGGAGGAUGCGAGCGUUAUCCGGAUUUAUUGUGUUUAAAGGGUGCCCAGCGGGUCUGUUAAGUCAGCGGUAAAACCCCGGGGCUCAACCCCGGCCCGCCGUUGACACUGGCAGUCGCGAGUUGGAGAGAGGUAUGCGGAAUGCGCGGUGUAGCGGUGAAAUGCAUAGAUAUCGCGAAGAACUCCGAUUGCGAAGGCAGCAUGCCGGCUCCACACUGACGCUGAGGCACGAAAGCGUGGGUAUCGAACAGGAUUAGAUACCCUGGUAGUC
rnacentral:rRNA from 1 species